rfam:Triticum urartu cultivar G1812 contig168321, whole genome shotgun sequence.
AUACUUACCUGGACGGGGUCGACGGCUGAUCAAGAAGAGUCGUGGCCUAGGCUAGUGGUCCACAUUGCACUUGGUGGAUGCGUUGGCUUACCAUCUCCCCAAGUGGGAGAGUGGACGUCAUAAUUUAUGAUAGAGGGGGUACGCGUCCGCGCGGCCCCUG